rnacentral:rRNA from 1 species
UACAGAGGUCUCAAGCGUUGAUCGGAUUCAUUGGGCGUAAAGGGUGCGUAGGUGGCGCUGUAAGUCGGGUGUGAAAUUUCGGAGCUUAACUCCGAAACUGCAUUCGAUACUGCGGUGCUUGAGGACUGGAGAGGAGACUGGAAUUCAUGGUGUAGCAGUGAAAUGCGUAGAGAUCAUGAGGAAGACCAGUGGCGAAGGCGGGUCUCUGGACAGUUCCUGACACUGAGGCACGAAGGCCAGGGGAGCAAACGGG